rnacentral:rRNA from 1 species
GACGAACGCUGGCGGCGUGCUUAACACAUGCAAGUCGAACGGAAAGGCGCUGCUCUUGCUGGGUGCUCGAGUGGCGCGCGGGUGUGAAACACGUGAGUAUCCUGCCCUUGACUUUGGGAUAACUCCAGGAAACAGGGGAUAAUACCGGAUAGGAGCUCCUGAAGCAUGGUGGUGGUUGGAAAGUUUCGGCGGUUGGGGGUGGACUCGCGGCUUAUCAGCUUGUUAGUGGAGUAGUGGCUUACCAAGUCUUUGACGGGUAGCCGGCCUGGGAGGUUGAACAGGCACCAUACUACUGCGGGAGGCACCAGUCGGGAACGUUAGGCAGCGGUGGGGAACCUUACACAGCGAGCCCGCGCCUGAUGUGACGGCGCCGCGUGCGUGAAGAACGCCUUCGAGGUAUGAACCGCUGUCGCCUGAGACGAAGCGUGAGUGACGGUAAUGGGUAAAGAAGCACCGGCUAACUACGUG